rnacentral:rRNA from 1 species
AUGGGAACGCGAAGAACCUUACCUACUCUUGACAUCCAGAGAACUUUCCAGAGAUGGAUUGGUGCCUUCGGGAACUCUGAGACAGGUGCUGCAUGGCUGUCGUCAGCUCGUGUUGUGAAAUGUUGGGUUAAGUCCCGCAACGAGCGCAACCCGUUAUCCUUUGUUGCCAGCGGUCCGGCCGGGAACUCAAAGGAGACUGCCAGUGAUAAACUGGAGGAAGGUGGGGAUGACGUCAAGUCAUCAUGGCCCUUACGAGUAGGGCUACACACGUGCUACAAUGGCGCAUACAAAGAGAAGCGACCUCGCGAGAGCAAGCGGACCUCAUAAAGUGCGUCGUAGUCCGGAUUGGAGUCUGCAACUCGACUCCAUGAAGUCGGAAUCGCUAGUAAUCGUAGAUCGAGAAUGCUACGGUGAAUACGUUCCCGGGUCUUGUACACACCG